GGAUCUCCAGCUGGAGAUCCUUUCUCUUGGAACUCUUCUGUGAGCCCAGGACACGGAGGCUGGGAGACCAACGUUUGAUGCAAAGAACGUGUGAAAAAGGGAAUUGGAUGUGCACCCGAAGGAAGAAAAAUGUUUGGGUUAGGAUCCAAAUGGAGUUUAUCUGCCAAAAAGGAGAAGAAAAAAAAAUUGAUUGAAACCCGUAAUUACUUUACAAGUUGCUGUAAUAAAUUAUGUAUGAAUGUAAAUUAUUUCACAGGAGAAGAACGUAGGGGAAACUUGAGCAGAAGGAUCAUGCAUUAUGUAUAGAAAGGAGCCGUAAAAAAAAUAUUGCAGCAGCACGUUUGUGUCCUGGUAGUUGAAGUUGUGUCAGUGUUUUGAUUUGAUGCCAUUCUCUGUGGUGGGGUUGUUGAAGUUUUGGUGCCCAGGUCUCGGUGUGAGGGCUGUGGUGGUUGCUUCAGGGCUUACUGAAGCUAAAGCAUGGAGUGAGGGCAUCGUCCAAAUACCUCUUGAGCACUCACACUUGGGAAUUGGCAGAGAACAGCGAGGUCUCCUCUCAGCCUUAUCUCCAGACUGGACAACCUCAAUGCCUUCAGCCUCUCCUCACAGGAGUGCCCUCCAGGUAUUACAUGCUGUUCUGGAGCUGGUGGAGAAGGGACCUGGCAAGUUCUUGUGUGGCCUGUACAAAAUGUGGAGCUCAACACAUGGAAAUCUGCCUACAGUGACCUGGAUGCCUUCAUCUGAUGAGAGCUGGUUGUGCACAGAUCUUAGGGAUGCUUUGAGGAUGGUACCGGUCCCCGUGGGUUUGGAACAAAGCUUCUGAGAGCCCCAUGACCUGGACCUCUGGGCUGUUUGAUGUGAUAGAAGUUACCCAGGGGAAAAGAUGGAUGUUCAAGGCCAGACGUGUGCUUGUGAGAGGAUACACCAGGGUUUUGCCCCAGAGGAAGUUUAGAAGUAGAUGAUGGUGUUUUAAACCUCAUCCUUGUUUUAUCGAUGGGUGUGUUCAGCAAGGGGCUGGGAGCAUUUAGUUCUGCAGUUUCAAGUUAAAAUCCAAAGGGAAAAAGCCCAGGCUAUUUUGUCUGAGGACACUGACCACCAAGAGGGACCCAUGUAAGCAGGGCAGAGCUCCACGUGCCGCAUCUACAUCAUGCCUUGGUUGUCAGUGCCCUUGUGUCGUUUUCUGAUGGGCAAACAGUGCUCUCCAGCAAAGCCGUUUAGCUCUGAACUGAGGAAUUCUUGUGAUGGAUUUUGCCCUGGAACAAAUUGCUGCCUCUGGGUAAACCAAGCUGAGGUUUGUAAUUUAAGAAACUUAAUACAUGCUUAACCGCAGCAGUAUUAAUGGUUCCACUGCAAUUAUUGUUAUCAGUGCUCUCAGGAUGUGAAUCUUAGUCUUAAAAAGUUGAGCAGAAAAACAGACUUUUUCCUCUCGUAAGUGGCUCCCAAGUCUCUUAAUUACACCCUCAGUGCUUAGAUGAUCCCUGUUUCCAAUUUAUUAUUCUGUUGGCAUCACUUUGCAUCGGAAAAAGACCACGUUCUGGGUUCUUGUGGGGCUUUGCAUGGGUGGUUUGUCCUGGGGGGCAGCAGGGGAACGGGGCACCCCAUGCGUGUGCAUCUCCUGGAUGGCAGCAGCCCUGCCAGAGCCCCAGCUUCCUCCAGCACAAGCUGAGCACAAAGGAGGAAAGCAAACAAUAACCCGAAGUUGUUGUUCGGGAUAACAGUACGCUUGCAAUUUUUCUUUGUGAUUUGUUGUUUUCUUUUUGAAGGUUUACAGCUGUUUGCGCAGAAGUAAUGUCGAAAGAGGAAGGUAUCCUGUAUCCUCUUGAACAAGCUUACCAAGGCCUUUUGUAAAACGUGACGUCUGGGCAUGGGGGUCGUGGCAACUUGCCAUAAAAAAUUAGCUUCUAUUUCUGUUUCUUUUGUCUGGUGACCUGACCCGAGAAAUCUCUCCGCUGGCAGCAUAAUAAGGGGGGAAAAAUAAUAAAGAUCUAAACAUAGAUGUAA